GUCAAGAUAAUUACUUCUCUACCAGAUGAUAAGAUGUCCUCCGCUCCAAGAACCUGUGUGGGAAUGGAGGCAUGCAGAUGUCUACCCACUUGGAUUAAACAGAAAGCUGCGGGCCGCUGGUGUGGAGACCUCGGGAAGCUGGACCUGAGGAGAGGAUGAACCCAGUCUGCCUUCUCUGCACCCCAGAACGGAGGCGGACGUCAGCACCGAGACAGAACCAAUCGACUUUGCAUGAAAUGGUCCGAUCAUGAAGUGUUGCUGUGAAGCCAGAAACAGUAAUUGCAAAGGAGAAGUCCACUCCCUGUUGGCAGGAUCAGGCAAUGCUGCCAUGUCCCACUCUGUUCUCUGACGUGAACGCUCUCUGUCCCAGGGAAGCCUGCGCUGUGCUGGAGCCCUGUCUGCAAGCCGUUUCCACGGAAAUCUGCACAGCAGACCUAGCUCGGAUCUUCCUCCAAGUGAAUCCCAGGAAAAUGCUGCAGCGACUGAUAAAGCCCACGGAGGAGGAAAGAUGGCGGCAGGAGACCUGUGCACAAGACCUGUGCAGCAGCUCAGCUCACCGUAGGAGCAGAACCGUCUAGACUGCUGCUCUGGGACGGAAAAACAGAAACCUCGGAAAAGGAGUGCCGUCUUACCAAUGAGCUGCUAAACCAGGAAGAAGUGAACCUGGGGUGCCAUUUUGGUUGCCUUGUAGAGAUCCCGACUGCGGCCUGGUUCCAAGCGGAGCAGCAGAACCGAGCGUGAGUCCUGGUGGCCCUGACCUGCUCACCCAGCACCCAGGACUCGGGUCCCUCAGUUCUCCCAGGAUUCUGAGCCACUUCAGUGUC